GGCUCAGAGACUUUCUACAGUCUUGGAAAUCAUCAAUGCCACAGAUUCCAACAGUUUCAGACCAUGAGCCUUGCCUCCAAGAGUGGGCAAUGUCCAGAGCAGCUGUCCAGAGAAGAGAAAGAGCAAGAGGAUGCUGUCAUGCUGCUCAGAGGAGAAAAGAUGAUGCCAGACCUUUCCAGUGACACAGAGACCUUUUGUAGGAUCCCAGAAGAGGAAGUUCAAGAGUUUGAUGCAACUUGGGAAGUCAGCCUAAAAAAGAAAGAGGUCACCAUGAUGAGAACUAGUGAAUGCUUGAGAUCUUUUGGCAAUCCUUUCAUUUCUAGACUUCUAAUAUUUUAAAAUAUGAAAUAAUUUUGUAGGAAUAGAGAGAAAGAAAACAAGUCUGGUUUUUGGAUUUUGGAGACUUUUUGAUCUUUAGGAAAUCACCUUCAAAGCUCUGGAUAACUUGGGUCUGUGACAUCAUCAGAAAAACUUUGCUGGAGGAGUAAGAUAGCUGGACUCGAAGGGAUGAUGUGUGCUUGUGUGCACAUGGUGAGGAUAAAAGGUCUGUAUAGGAAAGGAUGUUGUGUUUCUGGGUGUGUGAUGGAUGAGAGCAGAGACCCAAGGGUAGGAGUGGGAAGGGUAGUUAAUCAGCCUUCCUGAAAGAGAUUAGCAAAUUGAUGGAUGGAGAUAAGUAGACUGGGAGUGACUAGCAUAGACACAGAGAAGGCAGACAGCACUUGAAAUAUGGGAUUCCGUUUCUGGACGGCAUCAGGGAGGGAGCAGGCAGUGAAAUGGCAGUGGAUAGGUCAGGCUGUGUGGGAUUUCCUCCAGACAUGUCAUCUUCCUCCUUUUCUGCUCUUAUGCUCUCAUUUCCUCCUUCUAGAGAAAUCUCUGGGCAUGGCUCUGUGAACAUCUACAAUAGCCUAAUGAGGCUGUCAGUAUUCCCUGGAGCUUGGUGGAGCAUUCAUUGUGGGUCUGAGCCCUUCCUGGGAGUUAUGGUAUAUAAUCCUUCCUCUUUUAAACUAGGAGUGUGGAUGCUGGAGGAUUUUCUUUCAAGAUCUCAUUUUUCUGGUAUUUUAUCUUCUCAGUUGUUGCCUGAGAUUAUGUCCCAUGUAGAAAUAUUUGUUCUUGCACCAGUGCUUUUAAUCACAGUAAAGUCUCCUUGGGUAAACUUGUCAUCUUCACUAGACUUUGUUCUGCUACAUGAGACAAGUGCUGGGUUUUUGCUCAUAUGCAGUUCUGUCCAUUUCCAGUCCCAUGUGCAUAACUUCUUUUUGUUUCUCUAAUGUACAACCUCUUUAGAACCACCUUCCCCUAGCUUUAAGAAGUAUUUUGCAUUAUCCCUCCCUGCCUUUGUGGAUUUCUAAGACUUCUUUGCCCAUUUUUAUUAUGUCACUCCAUAGCCCUUUCAUCAGGAAUUCCCAUCUCACAUUGUAUUCAAUGGGAUUUUUUAAAAUCCAUCUAGAUUUGAGCUUUCAGAUAUGUACCUAGAAAUUAAGUUUGCUCACCCACAAUGUGUGGGAAGAUUCAGCUGGCUCACAAAUGACACUGAAUGCCUCUUACUAUCAUGUAUUUAUUCCUGCAAGCAGCCACUUCUUCCAUGUCAUCUCAGAAAUAAUGGACAUUUCAGAAAUGUACACCUUGAACAGGUUUGAGUUGAGAAAUCACUGAGCAGAACCAGGAUUAAGCUGCUUCUGCACAUUCUAGCUCUGCCAAAUCCAUGUCGCAUCUCCAUUCUCUUUUCCAUCCUUCCUUUUACUGUUGUUCAAAACGUCUAGAGUCUUGAAUGCUGCUCAAGUCAGCUGCAAAAGUCAAAAGUCACAUAGAUUUUGGACAAGAGCUCCACCUUCACAAAUUAAUAGACCUUCUCUACCUUCAGUUCCAUGUAUCAGUGUUACCAGAAGUGAAACAUGGAAGUGAUCCUUUCUUGUGGAUCAGGAGAAUUUGUGCCCUCUGAACUUCUAGUGACCAUAACACAGUAUAUUCUAUUUCCUUGUUUUCUGUUUUGGGCAGUUUCUUUCUCUGUGGGUGAUGUCUGAGGCCAAGUCCUUUUGUGGGACUUUUUUUCAUCUGCUUGUCCUUGCCCAUCUUCUUCCUGACCAAGAGCAUGUGACAGAAAGGACACCAGCAUCCCUUUGAAACCUGUUCCUCGGUCACUGUGAUCACAAAAAGAGGCUUUAUAUUGAGCAAAGUCCCCAGGAACUGCCUCACACCAAAACAACAAGGAAAGCCUCCAGCAUCACACUAGCAAGCUCAAAAUCUCAAGAAAUCAUGAUGACUUGAGGAGAGAGCAAACUGGAAUCACAGCACUGCGACCACCUUUGCAAAUUCCUCUCUCCUAAAUGUGUCCAAGUCAGAGAGUGGCAGAAGAGCAGGCAGGUAAACUAUGCCUCUCUAAUCCAGGCCCUGGUGACAUCUGUCAUAAUCACCUGGGGACCUCUAUUACCAUGAUCCUGCAUAACACUGAACAAUAGCAAGUUUGUGAGAGGCUUGAGCUGAUUCCUUUGCAUAUUUUGUGUGUUGCAAAAGAUGCUGAGAGUCAGAGCAGCUGUGCUCUUAGACAGAAGAGCGAUCUUUUUUGGCAGUCAGCAAGGUGACAAGGAGAAAUCUGGAAGUGUAACAUUGAUUAUUUCAGUACAAUAUAAAACACUUUGUGACAAAUAAUAUAAGUAUCUUGCAAGUUCAAUGAAUACCACAUAAAGUUUGGACCUCCAAGCACUCAGGAUAUCCACAGGCCUGCCGUAUUAAUCACAAACUGUGUUGAAUUCUUCUUCCAGUCCAGUAAUUGUUUCACUUUGAGACAAAGGCAUUAUCUCCAAGUUCUGCCAUGACAAAGCAUAUAGUGCUCAGUACUCUCAAUCUAUGCACCUCAAAGAAACUUUAUAUUUUCCUCUGUUUCCUUGGCAAGAUUAACUCAGAUGGACUUUAACCUGUUCUUAUUUAUCUUUACUUGAUUUUGCUUUGUGAAGUCUUUUGUUGUUUCAGAAAACAAAAACCCUUUACUUAUCCUUACAUAUCAACUACAGAUAACUAUUCCCUGGACAAUUGUGCUUUUAUUAGUUACUCUUUCUAGUAUUUUUGCUUCUUAUUGGAAUUAAACCCAGAAUAACACCUCCUUUUAUCAUCUAUGUAGUGACAAAACCUGUCAGCUGUCACUGGUAGUGCCAUGAUUAAUAGAAGCUAUUCAUGAAUUGCUGAGAUGCUGUUUUCUUCUAAUGACAACUGUCAGCCAAAAA